GAUGAACGCUGGCGGCGUGCCUAAUACAUGCAAGUAGAACGCUGAAGCUUGGUGCUUGCACCGAGCGGAUGAGUUGCGAACGGGUGAGUAACGCGUAGGUAACCUGCCUGGUAGCGGGGGAUAACUAUUGGAAACGAUAGCUAAUACCGCAUGACAACAGUUAUUGCAUGAUAACUGUUUAAAAGGGGCAAUUGCUCCACUACCAGAUGGACCUGCGUUGUAUUAGCUAGUUGGUGAGGUAACGGCUCACCAAGGCGACGAUACAUAGCCGACCUGAGAGGGUGAUCGGCCACACUGGGACUGAGACACGGCCCAGACUCCUACGGGAGGCAGCAGUAGGGAAUCUUCGGCAAUGGACGGAAGUCUGACCGAGCAACGCCGCGUGAGUGAAGAAGGUUUUCGGAUCGUAAAGCUCUGUUGUAAGAGAAGAACGAGUGUGAGAGUGGAAAGUUCACACUGUGACGGUAUCUUACCA
rnacentral:rRNA from 1 species